ensembl:lncRNA
CAUAUUCAACAGCACGUGUUCAAGGUUUAUCAAGAGCUGUGUUCGUCGCGAACGGCACGACUUUCUGGUGUUAUACACUGUCCUGGCGUUGCAGAUCUAGGGGUUCCAGUUAAGACGUGGUCAGCCUUCUAAAGAAAGUGGGAAUCUCACCAAAAUAUUCAGUUACUUUGCUGUGUUUCUUGCCAGGACAAAGGCUCAAACCAUCAUCUUCUCCUGGUAUCGAAUACCAAGGGACCUUCUGAAGUAAGCUUUAACAAGUUACCUAAUGUCACAACCGUCUCAACUUCGAGUGAUCCUUGCAGAUCAUGAUGUCCGUAAAGUUGUACUACCAUCUGGAAUCCCAGAAACGGUGGAUGACCUUUAUUCAGCCAUCCGUGAUACCUUUUCCAUUACAAGAGACUUCUGUCUUCACUAUAAAGAUGCUGAUUUUGGUGAUGAGUUUUUUACCCUUGUUUCGACAACUGACCUUAAGGACAAGGACACAAUCAAGAUUGUGUUUCUCCAGGACCAGGAGCC